UUGAUGGCGACCGGCGCACGGGUGAGUAACGCGUAUCCAACCUGCCCUUUACUAUGGGACAGCCCGUCGAAAGGCGGAUUAAUACCGUACGUUGUCAUGUUGAUGCAUAUUUUCAUGACCAAAGGCUUCGGCCGGUAAAGGAUGGGGAUGCGUCUGAUUAGCUUGCCGGCGGGGUAACGGCCCACCGGGGCGACGAUCAGUAGGGGUUCUGAGAGGAAGGUCCCCCACAUUGGAACUGAGACACGGUCCAAACUCCUACGGAAGGCAGCAG
rnacentral:rRNA from 1 species